AGAAAUGGAGUAGAAAAUUAAUUUGCCCAGUUUGUCCAUUCCUACUGAGAAGGAAUGUGUGUGCUUAAUGAUGAUGGAAGAUUUAAUGCAUACUUCAUCUGUGGGGCUAGAGAGAAGAGGUGAUAAGAAAAGGAGAUUUCUUAAUACUGGUUAUUCUGCCCUGCAAUACUAUGACCUGAUUUCCUGUUGUCUAAGCACUGGGAAAUAUGAGGAGGAGUUAAGAAGAAGUUGCAGUGUUCAAGUAGUCCAAGUAUUCCUAUUUUAUUUCAGCCCUGAAUCAGUUCCACUUCUGAGUGUCUGUGGUACCUGUUCCCUCACUGUGAGGCUGAAACUCUUUGGGAAAAGGAACAGGACUGCAAACAAGUUCAUGAUCUAAAUCAAGGGUGACUCUGAGCACCUGAACUGGAUUUUUGAAUGCAGAUAUGAAGUUCAAAUCACCCAGCCUGGACACCUUUGAAGUGUGAAACGGACAGACUGAGGCAUGAAUAUAUAUAUGUGAGUACUUUUCCUUGAAGCUCAGAAGUUGUACUCAGCUUAUUUGAAAAGUGCUUGGGGAUGCUUUAAAGUUUCUCUGUGAUACUUCAGAAUCUAUGCAAGAAGCUUCAGAAUAACCUUGUCAUUUUAUUUCUCAGUGCAUAUAUAAAAUGUAUGAAAAGUGUAUGUGCUGUUGCGCAUCUGACUCCAAGGUGAAGGUAAGGGGUAGGCGAAAGAACUAUCCAAAUAGCUCUAACCGUCUUUAAAAUUAAGUGGCGUUUGCUGCGAGAGAAAUGAUGGGUUUUGUUGAUAAAACUUGCGAUGUCAUACUCAUUCCUGUAUAUGACACUAUAGUGUUGUUACAUUAUACAGUAAAAUUGCAGUCUUAACUGAUUUCUUCUAAUUUCACAUGAAUUAAAUGCUAUCUGCUACUUCAGCAGUGCUACACUCCCGAUCUGUUAUUAUCUAGAUAAGCUAAGGAUCUGGCUGCAAGAAAAUCUACUCAAAAUAUAAGAGAAAAUUUAAAUAUGGAAGUUGUUCAGAAUUGGUUUCCAGUAUUUUGACUAGCUUUCAUUUCUCAGCACGAAGAGUUCAUUUAUCAAUAACUUUCAGCUUUCCAUUUAACUACUCACUUUUCUACUAAUUGAUGUUUUCUGACAAUUCAUUACCACAUUUAAGAUAGUUAAAUCACUUUAACUGUACAGUUCAUUUAAAGGAAAGACUUUCAUAAAGUUGAUGAAUAUGACAGUCCCAGGUUGAUGGACAGGCUGAGAAAUAACUACAUAGGGAAUAUCGAUCAUCUCAUAUCCAAUGAAUCUGCAGUUUACAUGAAUGUGAAGAAAUAAAUGUUGCAUUAUUGGGUCUAUUACAGAACAAAAGGAAAAAGAGAAUAGGCAUGAAAUGAACCACAUAUGUUAUUUAUGUAUCAACAGAAGAAGCAGUGCCUAUCAACAUUUAGAAGGUUUGCUGGGAUUCAGACUGAAGUGGGCAGAAGCUUUGCAUAUUGUCUUCACAUCAGUAGUGAAUUUCUAAAAACAACAAAGAAAGCACUUAUUUAUGUAUCUUGAAUUGUUUAAAUUAAAAUUGUGAAAUUCAAAA